UACGAACUGUGCAAACGUUAUUCGGAAUCACUGGGCUUACAGGGUGCGUAGGCGGUCUGUUAAGUAGGGUGUGAAAGCCCCCGGCUCAACCGGGGAAUUGCGCCCUAAACUGGCGGGCUGGAGUGAGAUAGGGGUGUGCGGAACUUCCGGUGGAGCGGUGAAAUGUGUUGAUAUCGGAAGGAACGCCGGUGGCGAAAGCGGCACACUGGAUCUCAACUGACGCUGAGGCACGAAAGCCAGGGGAGCGAACGGG
rnacentral:rRNA from 1 species